rnacentral:rRNA from 1 species
UUGGAGGGCAAGUCUAGGUGCCAGCAGCCGCGGUAAUUCCAGCUCCAAUAGCGUAUAUUAAAGUUCGUUGCAGUUAAAAAGCUCGUAGUUGAAUUUCGGGGUUCUACCGUUGGUCGGGCAAUAGUCUGUACUGGCGUGUGGAAUUUCUACCUUCUGGGGAACCAUCAUGUUAUUUAUUUAGCGUGAUGGGAAACCAGAACCUUUACCUUGAAAAAAUUAGAGUGUUCAAAGCAGGCUUACGUCUGAAUACAUUAGCAUGGAAUAAUAAAAUAGGACGGUGGUCCUGUUUUGUUGGUCUCUGAAUCACCGUAAUGAUUAAUAGGGAUAGUUGGGGGCAUUAGUAUUCAAUUGUCAGAGGUGAAAUUCUUGGAUUUAUUGAAGACUAACUUCUGCGAAGGCAUUUGCCAAGGAUGUUUUCAUUAAUCAAGAACGAAAGUUAGGGGAUCGAAGACGAUCAGAUACCGUCGUAGUCUUAACCAUAAACUAUGCCGACUAGGGAUCGGACGAUGUUAAUUUUUCUUGACUC